rnacentral:rRNA from 1 species
CUGGGAAUUGGCAUCCUGAUUCGGAACCACAAAGGCGAAUGCUUGGUCGCUUGCACUGAGCCACUUAAAGGGAUGGUACAGCCAGAACUUGUUGAAAGCUGGGCGCUCCGUCAUGCCGUGAUUCUCGCCCGUGAUGAGAGGCUGACCUCUGUCAUUUUCGCUUCAGACUGCCUCUCCUUAGUACAAAGAAUGAACUCUUCAUCCAUGGACAGGUCUGAAGUGGGUGUAGUGGUGUCAGAUAUUAAGCGUUUGGUUGCUUGUUUUUCUUCAGUUUCCUUCUGCCAUGUCAAGCGGUCGUUGAAUGCUGUUGCUCAUAUACUAGCUAGGUCCUGUGAGUUUGUCAGUUCAAAAGCUGUGUACUAUUCUACUCCAGAGUGUAUCAGGCAAACUCUAUGUACUGAUGUAUACUAA